ensembl:lncRNA
CUGAUUUUGUCACCAUGUAGUUGUGGAUGAGGCAGUUCUGGAGUAUCCAUUUUUCUCCGUUGGCCAGAAAGGGAGUUUCUUUCUUGCCCAGAUGAACGUGUCUGCAACUGACCCCUUGAAAUGCUUCAGGGACAAUAAUUAUAUGGCUACAAAGCAAAGAAGGAAUCCGGCUGACAGAAAGGGAGGGGCUGGUUGAGGUGGGAAUGAGAGCAUACAUGAAAUGAUUUGUCUCUUUGUAAAUUGUAUGAGAACAACCCAAACAGGCCACUGCAGCUGAAGAAAGUGAAUUUCAAUGAUCUGAUAUCUUCCAGGCAAAAUCCCAUGGGAAGCGAUUCCGAGGAGAGGGGCUUAAAUAACAGACAACAGGAGCACAAGCGCUGGCCAUCCCAGAGCAAAGCGUGGGCUGGGAGUGCCAAAGGAGCCAAAGAGAAGUUCUUCAUCGGCUUCAGAUACAAGACAGAGCAUACAGAGAGUGACAACUGCUGCGGUACUCGGGGCUGCUGUGAAGGAGUCGUAUGGAAAGGGAAGGACCGCUUCACAGAAGGAGGGUGUAAUGAGGAAUAUCGAAGGUAGAAGGAACUAGCUGCGUGGCCUGAGGAGCAGUGUAAGAAGAUGGCUGGAAAUACGGCCUGCCUCCUGCUCCCACCUGAGGGUGGGCUGAGGAGGACACAAUGGGCUCUGUGGUUCCGAGAUGAGAGAGAAGAGUAGCAAAGGGGAUUAAUCAGGCCGAAGAAUCUGGCUGCAAGGCAUCCUGACGGUGACUGGAGCAGCCUGUGCUGCUGAACUGGUUCUUCUUCGCUCAUCACAGCUUCAGGGGAGGUCUUGCAGGAAUCUAAGAACACUUCAGGAAAGAGCUGAACUCUGGGCUGGCUGCACAGAGCCCAGGGAGCUGAGACGACGGCAGGAAAC